CCUACGGGAGGCAGCAGUAAGGAAUAUUGGUCAAUGGAGGCAACUCUGAACCAGCCAUGCCGCGUGCAGGAUGACGGUCCUAUGGAUUGUAAACUGCUUUUGUACAGGAAGAAACCUCCCUACGAGUAGGGACUUGACGGUACUGUAAGAAUAAGGAUCGGCUAACUCCGUGCCAGCAGCCGCGGUAAU
rnacentral:rRNA from 1 species